GAGUUUGAUCAUGGCUCAGGAUGAACGCUAGCGGCAGGCUUAACACAUGCAAGUCGAGGGGUAGAGUUAGCUUGCUAACUUGAGACCGGCGCACGGGUGCGUAACGCGUAUGCAAUCUACCUUGUACAGGGGGAUAGCCCAGAGAAAUUUGGAUUAAUACCCCAUAGUGUUAUGAUGUGGCAUCACAUUAUAACUAAAGUUCCAACGGUACAAGAUGAGCAUGCGUCCCAUUAGCUAGUUGGUGUGGUAACGGCAUACCAAGGCAACGAUGGGUAGGGGUCCUGAGAGGGAGAUCCCCCACACUGGUACUGAGACACGGACCAGACUCCUACGGGAGGCAGCAGUGAGGAAUAUUGGUCAAUGGGCGCAAGCCUGAACCAGCCAUGCCGCGUGCAGGAUGACGGUCCUAUGGAUUGUAAACUGCUUUUGUACAGGAAGAAACACUCCCUCGUGAGGGAGCUUGACGGUACUGUAAGAAUAAGGAUCGGCUAACU
rnacentral:rRNA from 1 species